AAUCUUCCGCAAUGGACGAAAGUCUGACGGAGCAACGCCGCGUGAGCGAUGAAGGCCUNCGGGUCNUNAAGCUCUGUUGUCAGGGNCGAACAAGUUCGGGAGUAACUGCCCGCACCUUUACGGUACCUGACCAGAAAGCCACGGCUAAGUACGUGCCAGCAGCCGCGGUAAUACGUAGGUGGCAAGAGUUGUCCGGAAUUAUUGGGCGUAAAGCGCGCGCAGGCGGUACCUUAAGUCUGAUGUGAAAGAACCCGGCUUAACCGGGGAGGGUCAUUGGAAACUGGGGGACUUGAGUGCAGAAGAGAAGAGCGGAAUUCCAUGUGUAGCGGUGAAAUGCGCAGAGAUAUGGAGGAACACCAGUGGCGAAGGCGGCUCUUUGGUCUGUAACUGACGCUGAGGCGCGAAAGCGUGGGGAGCAAACA
rnacentral:rRNA from 1 species